UACGAAGGGGGCUAGCGUUGCUCGGAAUGACUGGGCGUAAAGGGCGCGUAGGCGGUUUGGUCAGUUAGAUGUGAAAUUCCUGGGCUUAACCUGGGGGCUGCAUUUAAUACGGCCAGGCUUGAGUGUGAAAGAGGGUCGUGGAAUUCCCAGUGUAGAGGUGAAAUUCGUAGAUAUUAGGAAGAACACCAGUGGCGAAGGCGGCUCACUGGCCCGGUACUGACGCUGAGGCGCGAAAGCGUGGGGAGCAAACAGG
rnacentral:rRNA from 1 species